UACGUAGGGUGCAAGCGUUAAUCGGAAUUACUGGGCGUAAAGCGUGCGCAGGCGGUUUUGCAAGGCAGAUGUGAAAUCCCCGGGCUCAACCUGGGAACUGCAUUUGUGACUGCAUGGCUAGAGUACGGUAGAGGGGGAUGGAAUUCCGCGUGUAGCAGUGAAAUGCGUAGAUAUGCGGAGGAACACCGAUGGCGAAGGCAAUCCCCUGGACCUGUACUGACGCUCAUGCACGAAAGCGUGGGGAGCAAACAGG
rnacentral:rRNA from 1 species